UACGUAGGGUGCAAGCGUUGUCCGGAAUUAUUGGGCGUAAAGAGCUCGUAGGUGGCCUGUCGCGUCGGCUGUGAAAACUCGGGGCUCAACUCCGAGCUUGCAGUCGAUACGGGCAGGCUAGAGUUCGGCAGGGGAGACUGGAAUUCCUGGUGUAGCGGUGAAAUGCGCAGAUAUCAGGAGGAACACCAAUGGCGAAGGCAGCUCGCUGGGACGGUACUGACGCUGAGGCGCGAAAGCGUGGGGAGCAAACAGG
rnacentral:rRNA from 1 species